rnacentral:rRNA from 1 species
GGUGCAGGCGGCCUUUCAAGUCGGAUGUGAAAUCUCCCGGCUCAACCGGGAGAGGUCAUUCGAUACUGCUGGGCUAGAGGACAGCAGAGGGAGACGGAAUUCCCGGUGUAGUGGUGAAAUGCGUAGAUAUCGGGAGGAACACCAGUGGCGAAGGCGGUCUCCUGGGCUGUGCCUGACGCUGAGGCCCGACGGCGUGGGGAGCAAACA